rnacentral:rRNA from 1 species
UGGUGGAAAUGCACGCAAAAGCUCAAAUUUGAAAUCUGGUACCUUCGGUGCCCGAGUUGUAAUUUGGAGAGGGCAACUUUGGGGCCGUUCCUUGUCUAUGUUCCUUGGAACAGGACGUCAUAGAGGGUGAGAAUCCCGUGUGGCGAGGAGUGCGGUUCUUUGUAAAGUGCCUUCGAAGAGUCGAGUUGUUUGGGAAUGCAGCUCUAAGUGGGUGGUAAAUUCCAUCUAAAGCUAAAUAUUGGCGAGAGACCGAUAGCGAACAAGUACAGUGAUGGAAAGAUGAAAAGAACUUUGAAAAGAGAGUGAAAAAGUACGUGAAAUUGUUGAAAGGGAAGGGCAUUUGAUCAGACAUGGUGUUUUGUGCCCUCUGCUCCUUGUGGGUAGGGGAAUCUCGCAUUUCACUGGGCCAGCAUCAGUUUUGGUGGCAGGAUAAAUCCAUAGGAAUGUAGCUUGCCUCGGUAAGUAUUAUAGCCUGUGGGAAUACUGCCAGCUGGGACUGAGGACUGCGACGUAAGUCAAGGAUGCUGGCAUAAUGGUUAUAUGCCGCCCGUCUUGAAACCACGGACCA